CCUGAGAAACCCAAAAGAUCGAAUGGGGAGAUUCAUCGUCAGCUCAUUUUGUAUAUGUAUAAGUUAUGAUGCGGGUUACUACUUGUAGUAUUGCCUGCACAUUCUUGUAUAUUUAGUUGCAAGAUGUUGUCGGCGUGCACUUCUCCCCUAGUAGGACGUCGCGACCUGUUGGGUGUCGGUCUACGGCCCAAGUGAUAGUCUUUAAUGUAAUUUAAAAAGCAUUGAAGAUCCUUGGUGUUUUCUGACCGGCUACUUGGCAGUACUCGUACGGUAUUUAGCCGCUAAAUUUAUUAAGCGUCCAUAUCCGUCACAAGCGAGGCUAAUUUACUGAUAGUACGGACCUAGUGCCGUCGUUGGUAUUGGCCAGCUGUUGGUUGUACGGUAUUCUAGGACUGGCUAAAAUUAAUUACCGGUCGGCGAUGCUACUGCUUUGGGUACUUUCAGG
rnacentral:rRNA from 1 species